UGGGUGGACACAGGCAUUUUGGUAUCUGGCUAAGAGGAAGCUGAGCUGGGACACAUUUAACCUGGGGUGAGGGGAACACACUCCUGUGGUUCUCAGCCACUCCUGGGCAUAGUUACGUUGUCUCUAGAGACCCUGUUGUAAAAGUGGCCCCAGCCCUGGCCCCACCAUCCGCCUAGGAUUUGACCCAAAGUAGCAGGGGCAGAGGUGGUUCCUGGAUCACGACAUUUCCCAGCACCGCAUAUGGGAAGCCUGUGAUCAGUGCAGAGGAAACAAGGUUUGCAAUGCGUGGAGCCAGAAGCCACUGUGUGGAAAAUUAUUCCCAGCAGAAAUAUGGAAAUUAUGAGUGGAUAAUUUGGUUCUUUUUGACACCUAGUCAAAAAUGGAAGUUUUCUCCUGUUGGAAAUAUACUCACCAAUAUGCACAGACCUGUGUGGUGAAACUGCCCACAGCAAGGACACACGCAUGUGAAUGGCACAGACACGAGGCGCGGGGCUGACCUCCCUCCCCUCUUACCCUGACGACCUCUCCCAGCUGCAGGCAACACAGAUGUAAACUUGACCAGCAGCAAGACAGCUUGAAGAAAUACUUGUUUCAAGGGAAACUCCUCCUGCAUGUUCAAUGACCUAAUAAAUAUAGCACAAAAUGAUACAUUUGCACAAUUGUGAAUCUCAGAACAACAGUGACACAUUAAAAAUGCUGUGAUAGUGAGCACUGUCAAUAGAAAAAGUCCCUACGAUCAUCAAUCAACAAAAUUUAGAAAGAGCUAAAAUCUUAGAGAUCACUAUGAAAGUAAACUGGAAGAGACUUUUCCAAAUUUGACGACAAUCAGAAAAGGUUUGAGUUAUAAAUUAGAAGGAAGAUGUUAUGCACCAUCAGUUUUACAAAAUGAUAAAACAUCUUAGUAGAAAGACUGGCUUAUCCUUCUGCCCUAUUUAUACACAAUUCUGCUAUAAAUUCAAUGUCUUAUGAUGAGGCAGAUAACGAUUCAUUAAUUGAAGAUGAAAACAUAGGAAGAAAUUAUUAGAGUUGUGUCACAUAUUAAUUAAUAAAAUAUUAUAUAAAUAAGGCUGGGUGUGGUGGCUCAUGCCUGUAAUCCCAGUACUUUGGGAGGCUGAGGCGGGCGGAUCACGAGGUCAGGAGAUUGAGACCAUCCUGGCCAACAACAUGAAACCCCCUCUCUACUAAAAAUACAAUUAGCCACUUAUGGUGGCACAUGCCUGUAAUCCCAGGUACUUGGGAGGCUGAGG
rnacentral:lncRNA from 10 species